rnacentral:rRNA from 1 species
UACGAAGGGUGCAAGCGUUACUCGGAAUUACUGGGCGUAAAGCGUGCGUAGGUGGUUUGUUAAGUCUGUUGUGAAAGCCCCGGGCUCAACCUGGGAAUGGCAAUGAUACUGGCAAGCUAGAGUGCGGUAGAGGGUAGUGGAAUUCCCGGUGUAGCAGUGAAAUGCGUAGAGAUCGGGAGGAACAUCCAUGGCGAAGGCAGCUACCUGGACCAACACUGACACUGAGGCACGAAAGCGUGGGGAGCAAACAGG